CGGUGAAUACGUUCCCGGGCCUUGUACACACCGCCCGUCACACCAUGGGAGUGGGUUGCAAAAGAAGUAGGUAGCUUAACCUUCGGGAGGGCGCUUACCACUUUGUGAUUCAUGACUGGGGUGAAGUCGUAACAAGGUAACCGUAGGGGAACCUGCGGUUGGAUCACCUCCUUA
rnacentral:rRNA from 1 species